CACUGGUUGGAUCCGAACAAGAGAGUCUGGAAGCAACUCAAAGGCACGUCACCGUUCACCUUAUACUUCAGCGUCAAAUUUUACGCCGCUGAUCCAUGUCGCCUAGUAGAAGAGAUUACAAGGUACCAAUUCUUUCUUCAAGUCAAGCAAGACAUCUUACAAGGAAGACUACCAGUGUCCCAAGAUCUUGCAGCAGAAUUAGGAGCUUACGCAGUGCAAUCUGAGUUGGGUGACUAUGACCCCAGAAGGCACUCACCGGGUUAUGUGUCAGAGUUCCGUUUUGUCACUACCCAGACCGUGGCGCUGGAAAACAGGAUCGCUGACCUGCACAAGAAGCUCAUCGGCCAGGUGCCCAGCAAGGCUGAGCUGUGUUACCUGGAAAAGGUGAAGUGGUUGGACAUGUACGGUGUUGACCUGCAUCCUGUCUUGGGCGAGGAUAAUAUUGAAUACUUCCUGGGUCUUACGCCUUCCGGGGUCAUUGUGCUUCGGAACAAGGCCAAAGUCGGGAACUACUUCUGGCCCAGGAUAUCCAAGGUGUACUUCCGAGGCAGAUUCUUCAUGCUGAGAGUGAGGGACAAAAACAACUCCGAGAACACGUAUGGCUUUGAGACCCCCAGCAAGGCCGCAUGUAAGCACCUGUGGCAGUGUUGCGUUGAGCACCACGCCUUCUUCCGCCUCACCCAGGCCUCGGGGAACUCGCCUGCUGCUAUAUUCUCUCUCGGUGCCAAGACGGGCCGCAGCGAGAAGGACGGGGAGGUGGGUGAUGCCAGGCUGGGUUCCCGCGCUCAGCCAGAAUUCUCCCGCAUGCCCAGCCGUCGAUACCAGCGGCGGAUUGUGGAGGGCGCACAGGAUGCGCCGAGGGUGGAAGAUUGUGAGGUCAAGACUGAGUUCCACAAUGGCAGCCACCUCAUGACCUCACCGAUGACCUCGUCGUCCAGCAUGCAUCGGUCCUGUUCCCUGAGCUUAGGCGGGUGUCACCACUCCCCGCGCAGCACCCGCUCAGCACCACACACAGCCACCGCCCCCCACGGCCUCAACACCACCACCGCCGCCACCACCGCCACCCUCAUCACCGGCCGCAUCAGAGGAGAAUCACCACGGUCUGUCCACUCGGCCGCCACUACCACUGCCGCCACUCAGGACUACAGCCGGGUGUCACGCCGGGCCUCAAGUGUCGAUAGCCAGUCCUCGGUGGAUUCCAGGGGCCACAGGAGACAUCGGCGUAGUCGUGGCCGCUCCUCCGACGGUGAGAGCGAAGCCUCAAGCAAAUGUUCCUCUAGGGGUCACCACCACCGCCACCACCGCCAUCACCACCACCACCACCACUCAGAUGACUCCGACCACCACCACCGCCACCGCCACCGCCGCCGCCGACACAAGUCAGGAGGAGCAGAGCCACAGUGGGCACAGGUCACGGCAGGUCAAACGCAGGUCCGAGGUCACACAGCCACCGUGCGCGACCUGACCCAUAAGAGUGGCUACCAACCCUCGGGCGUGGACACAGAAGCGGACUCCCUCCACCACCACCACCACCGCCACUCACACAAGAAGAGGCACCGGAAACACAGGUCCAGGUCUCGCUCGCCCUCGGAGGCUCGCCACUCCAAACUUCCCGAGGAGCUGCGUCGCCACCUUGCCCUCGACCUCCAGACCAACCCUGGACUGAGCGAGGCCGAGCUAAGACAGAUUCCCUACACCAAGGUGGAGACCGCUCGCACCAUCAAGAUCAAGUAUGGCGGCUCCCCCAAGGCCAGGAGACACCGCAGCCCUCAUCAGUCCAAGAGCAACUGCAGCGAUCGCAAAGCCACUUCGCCGGUGGAUGGGGAGAGCCCCCCACCCCCCUACACCCCCUCCCCGGCCGCCAAGACCACCAGCACACUGCCCAGGCCCUCCAAGGAGGCAUCUGCGGAGAGAGCAGCGAUGCCUGAUGGGGCCAUGGUGGGGGUUGGAGGGGGCAGGGAGACCACCACCACCACCACCACCACUGGCACCACCACCACCUCCACCACCAGCACACCAGCACCCCUUCCAAGGUACUACUUCAUGAGGGACCUGUAUGUGUAGGUGCCUGGGUGUGCCUGCCGUGCCUGGCCUGCCUAUCAACCCCUACUAACAUGAAGCCAAAGAGUGAGUCCAGGUCCUCACAGCAACAACCAAAAAUAUAGCAGUAGCAGCCGCAGCAGUAGUAGCAGCAGCAGUAGCAGUGGUAGUAGCAGUAGCAACACAGGAGGGGUGUCAGGUUGCAUUGAGAGUAACGCUGAACACCCACCACCAC